rnacentral:rRNA from 1 species
UACGAAGGGGGCUAGCGUUGCUCGGAAUUACUGGGCGUAAAGCGCACUUAGGCUGCUUUCUAAGUCGGGGGUGAAAUCCUGGAGCUCAACUCCAGAACUGCCUUCGAUACUGGAAAGCUCGAGUCCGGGAGAGGUGAGUGGAACUGCGAGUGUAGAGGUGAAAUUCGUAGAUAUUCGCAAGAACACCAGUGGCGAAGGCGGCUCACUGGCCCGGUACUGACGCUGAGGUGCGAAAGCGUGGGGAGCAAGCAGG